UGGGAAAAGCUCAACUUUGAAAUCUGGCAGCUUUGCUGUCCGAGUUGUAGUCUCGAGAAGCGUUUUCCGCGCCGAAGCAUGUAUGAGUCUGUUGGAAUACAGCGCCAUAGAGGGUGAGAACCCCGUUCAUGACAUGCCUUUCGGUGCUCUGCGAUACGCUUUCGAU
rnacentral:rRNA from 1 species